AAAUUUAAAAUUUUAGAGAAAUAUAUAAACAAUUGUUUUUAUUUUUCAAUAUUUUUUGCGGUAGCACUCAUAACUAUGCUAUGAAAACUCCCACAAUGUAUCUUUCGCACCCAAUUAGGACCGGUGAAGAGCGACUUGGUGCCAAACCAAAAUUCAAAGCCAAAAAUUUAAGUACGAAUUUUGAAUUAUAAACACCCUUAAAAUACCUUAUAGAGCUAGAGCUUUUUUAGAGAAAAAAAAAAAAAAAAAAAAAAAACCUUCUAUUUACAUCGUUUUCUAUAAGCGGCGGAUGCUUUGUACAACUCACAUCCUUAUGUCUCAUCCAUAGAUACACCCUAAUGAAUCUAUCCUAUGAAACCGUCUAGGUGGCCUCUCUGUGUUAUCAAAAUGGGUCCUCAUAAUUGUGCAUCCAAAAUAAUAACAUAGGUGGGCCCCACUCGCAAAGCAUACAAAGAUAAUUAUUAUAAUAUUAUUUUACAUAAUAAUUUUAUAUGUUUUUUUAAUCAAUAAUAAUAUGGGCUCUAUUAAUACCAUCAUUUUUACUGAAAAAAAAAUGAUUUAAGUACGAUUCUUAUAUUAUGGGAGCUCAAUUUUGUUUCUACAUCUAAUUUUAUGGCUCAAGACAAUUUCAAUUUUAUACUGAUAAUACCAACCAUCCCUAGAGUAUGUGGCAAAAGGUUUGGUGGUUGGUACCCAAGACCCAAGUUCGAAUCCUAGUUGAUUCACAUUUCCAGCUAAGUUUAUUUCUAAUUGAAAUAAACGAAGCGGGUAGGGUGCUACAUAUCUCUCUCAAAAAAAUUUUAUACCGGUAAUAAAUUAGGUAUAAAUAAAUUAUGUAAUACUAAUACCAAAGUUAAUCGCAUUAUAACAUAUCAUAUUUUAAGAGGUAGAUAAUAAAUAAUAGGGUAAGUUGCACAUUUGGUCCUCAAAUUAUGAGACCCGUGAUAUUUUAAUUCUUAAACUUUAAUUUGUUAUAUUUCUAGUUUGAUGUUUAGAAUUGUUGCAAUUAAAUUCCGCAACCUAAUUUAGUUGACUAAAUAUUGAUGUAUCGUUGGUAUAAUAGUGAUGUAACAUUUUAAUUAUCACAUUGAUGCAUCAUUAAUUAUAACAUUGCUAUACCACUUUUACAUCAGUGAUAUAUCAAUAUUUAGUUAACUAAAUUAAAUUGUAGGACUUGACUGUAACAAUUCUAAAAUAGGAUUUGAGUCAGAAAUUAUAAUAAAUUAAAGUUUGAGGACCAAAGUGUCACCUAUCUUAUAGUUUGAAAACCAAACAUGCAAUUUACCUUAAGCGGACCUUUGGUUCAGUGUAAAAUAAAUCAAUAAAUUAUUUUUACUAUGAAAAAUAAUUUCCUGCUUGUUUGGUUCGAUAUAAAAUAUUAUCUCACAAAAAUAUUUUAUGGAUUUGGGAAAAACAAUUGAAGUUUUCUUUUUUCAUUGUUUUUGGAUAAAAAACGAACCAAAUUUAUUAAUAGAGGGACAAACACGAAGCUCAAGCUAUGUAAAAUUUUUUUAUUUAUUUUUUUCAUCGAACCAAACAAACGAAAUUUUUUUUCUUUUGAGCAAACAAAUAUUGAUAAAAAAUUGUUUUUUUCUACAAAUAAUACACUUCAAAAUGUAAAUUUUUUUCACUGAAUAUUUUUUUACAAAAAAUAAUUUUUCAUGCUUUUAUAUUUGGUUCCCUAAAUAAAAAAGCUUUUUAAGUGUCAACCUACUAGGUCGGUGACGGAAUCUUCUCUAGUGUGUUCGUAAAAUAAGAGUAUUUAAGACCCAGCUUAUUAUAAAAAAAAGUAAGCGUAAAUUGCACAUUUGGCCCUCAAACUAUGAGGAUAGUGACACUUUGGUGCUCAAAUUCUAAUUUAUUGGCUCGAAUUUAUAGAAUUGUUACAAUCAAGUCUUAUAACUCAAUUUAAUUAACUAAAUAUUGAUAUAUCACUAAUGUAAAAAUAACAUAGCAGCGUUAUGAUUACUGAUGCACUAUUUAUUAAGAUGUCACAUUAUUUUUAUAUUAACGAUGCAUUAAAAUUUAGACUGUUAAAUUCGAUUGUGGGACUUAAUUGCAAGAAUCCAAAAGUUCGAAUGCAAAUUAAAAUUUGAGGACUAAAAUAUCAUCUGAUUCAUAACCAUAGUUUUAUGAGAAGAUUUUCUUAGUAGCAUCUUCUAGUAGUAUGUCCAAAUGAAUAGGGAGGAUAUAAUGAUUCCCAAAUUGGGGCAAAUAGUAGACUAAUUGAAUCAGUAAAGAUAAACGACUAAUUUUACUUCUCAUAUUUCAUGCACUGCAUAUAAUGGAGGGUGGGCUGAUAGAUUCAUAGCGUAACAGCAUAUAGAAAUUAAAACUUUUACUUCAAUGUAAGGACAAAGCCAAAUAUUAUUAAAAGUUUAAGAUCUCCAAAGUCGAAUUUAAAAGUUUGAGAACAAAUUGCAUUAUCACUAAAAGUCGAAUUUAAAAGUUGAAGAGCCAAAAUGAAAUUUGACUAGAAGUUUAGGGACUAGUAUAGCAAUUUGCCCUUGACAAAAUGGGAUGAAAAGAAAUGGUUUAAUUUUCUUCACUUUUAAUUUCAUUUAUAUCUUAUGUAACGACCUAAUCUAUUAGUAUUAAGGACUUACAGACUCCAAACCACAGACCCAAAAUGCUAAAGCCCAAAAUAUUAGUUUGUCGAGUCUAAACCAUCAACCUGAAAAGCUUAAGCAACCGCAAUUGUAUAACAUUGUAGGAUAGAAAUAUUAAAAGUACUUCUGUAUUCCAGAUGGGAUUUUAUAUUUAGACACUUAAUCAGAAAAUCUGAUUCUUGACAUUUGUAUCCAAAUCAGGAUGUAUUUACUAGCUUUUUUGAAUAAUUGGAUGAUGUUCUGAUUAAAAGUAUCCUAGAUUCUAAAGUAGAUUUGUAGUAAGAAGUAUUCUCUCAUCUACACAUCAGAACAAAUUUAUAUCCAGAGAACAAAGUGUUACAAUUCACCAAAUUGUCAUUGGCAUAUUGCCAUAUGAUUCAAAUUUGUCAGGUUUUUUUGACAAUUUCAAUAGGAACCUACGCUUAUCGAUACAAUUGCUAAUUGAGUCCAGUGUAAUUUCUACAAAAAUAUGAAUUACUGUUUCAGAUAAAUGUAUUCUCAUGUUCUCCAUUUACAAUGAUUUAUACCAUUACUUUGUAGGAAUAAAUGUCCUCUGCGGAGUCGGGAUCCUUUCGACCCCUUAUGCAGUAAAAGAAGGCGGUUGGCUCGGUCUCUCUAUACUCUUUUUAUUCGCGGUGCUUGCGUGGUACACAGGCAUCCUCCUUCGCCAAUGCCUCGACAGUCAGGAAGGCCUCGAGACAUACCCAGACAUCGGUCAGGCCGCAUUUGGCACUGUCGGUCGAAUCGCCAUUUCAGUGAGUUUUCUCCUGCAGUAGCCUUUUUAACCUUCCCCUCCUCUUAUUAAUAUUGAUUGCUGUUAAGUUAAUGGAGCUGACACACUUCAGUUUUCUGUUUCUUGCUGCAGAUUAUUCUUUACAUCGAACUGUAUGUAAGUACAGAUAUAUGAUCCCUUUAAUAUUAACCAUUAAAUUAAUGUUCAUUCAUUCAUACAGUUGUUGAAAUUAAAAUGUUUGUCUAAUUCACUAUGACAAAUUUUUAGAUCGAAGUCCUUUUCUUUUUUUCCAAUUCAAAAUUUUGUCUUACUGAAGUCUUUCAAAAUAGUAGCUUUUGUUGAAUGAAUUGAUUUCAUAGUAUCCCAUCAAAUUCUCUUCUGGCAAAUGAAAUGGAACUUUAAAAAUGUAGUCUUCAUUGAAUCGAUAAAUAUUUGAAUGCUGAACUAGUUUCUAUCCAUUGUUUCUGCAGGCCUGUUGUGUUGAGUAUAUAAUUCUAGAAAGCGACAAUUUAUCUUCUUUAUUUCCAAAUGCACACUUAGACAUGGGUGGCCUGCAUCUAAACUCUAAAUUACUCUUUGCCAUCCUGACCACUCUUGUGGUACUACCCACUACCUGGCUCCGCGAUCUAAGCAUUCUUAGUUACAUCUCAGGUGAGCCACCAUUUACUUGUCGUUAAUCUUUUUGUCUUAAUCGUGCUUAAUAUUCGCUCUAGGCCCGUUUAAAUAUUGUUCUUGUAUUUGUACACUGUUUUGUUUAUUUGUUUACAUUCAGAUAACUAUUGCUCUUCCUGCUCAUUUCCAUUUUGUUUUGGUCAGGUGUUAGUUGUCUCUACUUUCCUCUUAUUUUCAUAUAAAGGCAGGUGUUAUGAGUUGCCAUUAAUGUGAUUGAACACCUUUCUUUUUUCUUUCAUGUAAAAAGGUGAAAAAUAACAAAACUAAACAACGUACCAACCGUCCCUAGAGCAAGUGACAAAAGACUUUGUGGUUAGUACCCGAGGUCCCAAGUUCGAAUCCUAGUUGAUUCACAUUUCCAGCUAAGUUUUUUUCUAAAUGAAAUAAACGAAGCGGUUAGCAUGCUACCUAUCACUCAAAAAAAAAAAACAAAACCAAAAACAAAACUAAACAACACACCGCAAGACAUGCAGCAAAACAAGGAGAGACACAAAUAAGGGGGUGUUUGGAUUAGCGUAAGUGUAUAGUUCGGUUGGAAUUAUGUCCGGUAAGAGAAAAAAUAUCGAUCUUGCCAUUAACUAGGAUAAUAUCGGGAAGAGUCACUGUUUAGUUGUAUGCUAGAUUUUGAGAUUCCCUAUGAAAGAUGACUUUGGACUAUUUCAAAGAAAACUUGUUUUCAAGAACUUAAGCCCGUGUCUGCCUGCCGGUUCUUCUUGGUAUUCUCACGAUGGAUGGCAAGACUAAUGUCUCUACUUUUAAUAAAUUUGAUUUACAGCAGAAUUGCAACUUCAUCAACCCAAGCGCCCCCUAAAUGAAGUAUAUCGAGUAAAGAAGAGUUAUGACAUUGAGCAUAUUAUUGUUCACUAGAUUUUAUCAGGUUUCACUUACAUUGCUUGUUCCAGUAUCUUUACUUUCAGCGAAAGCGCCAUACGUAAGAGCUAUGCUUAUGUUUUUAUGCUAGUACGUUAAUGCGAGUAACCACUAACUAUCUUGAAACCAUAUAUAUAACAUGUUUUCUCAUUCCCCUAAGGAAAAUUUUGAAAGAUGUUAAAAGUUAUGUAAGUGACAUCUUAUGUGUAGUUAAUCUGCGUGCUUAAUUUGCUUCCUCUCUUAUAUAUAAUCUCCUAACAUCAUCCUUGUUUCUGCAUUGGCAGCGGGAGGAGUCAUCGCAUCUAUAUUGGUUAUGAUCAGCUUGUUCUGGGUUGGACUAGUCGAUCAUGUCGGUUUUCAGAACAAGGGUUCUACAUUGAACCUCUCUGGCAUUCCUAUUGCCAUUGGAUUAUACGGAUACUGCUAUUCGGGACACGCAGUUUUCCCAAACAUAUACUCCUCUCUGAAGAAACCCAACCAAUAUCCCUCAGUUCUCUUUUCUAGGUAUUUGUCUAAAUUAUAUUCACCACAUUAAAUCGAUUUCGCAUUAGUAGAUUUAGCAAUAUAACUAACUCAAGCUUCAUGGUAUUUUUCACUUAGCUUUGCAAUAUGCACUGUGAUGUUCGCCGGAGUUGCUGUGAUGGGGUACACUAUGUUCGGUGAAUCGACACAAUCUCAGUUCACUCUCAACAUGCCCCACAACCUGGUGGCUUCGAAGAUUGCCGUGUGGACUACGGUAAUGUGUUUAUCUAUUACUAUGUUGCUGCUUUUUAUUCUGCUAUCCAGAAUUUUGAAGAUUAGUUAGAUGGCCCCAGAAAAAUUAAGCAGCAUUCUAUCAUUUCUGCACUGAAACUAUAUCAUUUCUGCACUGAAACUAAGAACAGCAACAUAUGCACCAAGUAAUUUAUGAGCUCUACACAUUUUUAAAUCAUUCGACUUGAAAAUCUCAUAUUCUUCAUAUCGCCCUAGUAUUAGUGAUGAUGGAAAGAUGCAAAAUAAGCAGUAGUAGUUAGAACAUUAAACCACUAAUAGAUCGUGUAAAACAUAGCCUUCUCAUGUGUUGAUUUGGGUAUGAAAAUCAGAAUUCGUGUAUCACAUCUUGUCUAAGGGUAUCAAGAAGUCCUUAUCUCCGCAUGUACGGUAGAGUAUCAAGAACUUUGUAUCUAGAUGAACCAAGAUUUUGAUGCUUACAUGGCAAUGACCUUGUCUGUCCCAAGCACUUUAUCGAACAGCACAAUCCUAUGCAAACCUGAAGAAAUAAGUAACUUCGUGCAUUUGUUGGAUUACCAUAUAUUACAAAAGAAAAUAACAAAAAUGUAGGAUUACGACACUUUGGUAACUUUGUGCAUUUGUUGCAUUUUUACAUUCUUUAUUCGAAUACAAAGUUACCUUCAUACUAAGAUAUUCUUUUCGUGGUCAAUGAUGUUGCAGGUGGUGAACCCUAUUACUAAAUAUCCUUUCUUUAAUUAAUUUCCUUUUCUUUCUCAAUUACUUCAAUGAUCUUCUAUGUUCAAUAAUAAGCACGAAUGCAAAAAGAAGAAAAAGUUUACUUAGCGUACAUUGAAUUACAAUGAAACAUUUUCACGAUAUUGUUAUUUUUCAGAACAUUCUUAAUAAACAUUUGAUGAUCUUGAGAUGAAAGUUCUUUCCUUUUCCUUAACUGGUAAAUACAUAUGCAUUAACCAUAACUCCUAUGGCGCUGAGUCUCGAGGAGUUGAUACCAUCGAGUCAUCGGAAAACACAUAUGUAUGCUAUCAUCAUCAGAACAGCACUGGUGAUCUCCACCUUGUGUGUGGCUCUUUCUGUUCCUUUCUUUGGUGAGUUUAUUUUUCCCCUACCGCUCUCCGUUCUUGUAAUUAUAUUUUUGAGAUCAAUAGGAAGUAUCGUCAAAUUCCCAAACAUAGAAUACUGAAGAUUUAUUCUAUUUAAUCUUUCAAAUAAGCAAGCCUUUGGAUAAUAAACCUUAUAUACUUAUUUUUCUUCUUACUUGGAUUCCAUUUGCGAUCAGGACUUGUGAUGGCUUUAGUUGGAUCUUUUCUUACCAUGCUUGUAGUAAGUACCUUUCCUCACUGUUUUCUUCGAUAUUUGAUAUUUUUAUGCACUAGGACUAAAAAUUUCUUUGUGGGCAGACUCUAAUUCUACCAUGUGCUUGCUUUUUGGGCAUUCUCAAGAGUAAAGUUUCGUGGCUACAGGUUUGAUGAUGCUUCUUAACUAUAUCUUGAUUUUAAUGCAAUGAUGACUUUUUAAAUAUGACUUUUUGUGAUUACUUUGCUAAUUGAAAUGGCGUAGUUAUUAGUUUAAAGAUUCUAGUUUUUGCAUUAACUUCGGAAAGGUUCUUGAACAAAUUCAAGUCACAUGGAGUGGCAUUUUCUACAGUUUAAGCUCUAGAGAGCAUUAGAAGAGCACCAUUGAAGUAAAUUAGUUCAUCCGCCUUCGGUUGCGAUAUCUUUACCAUCUAUAGGUUCAUCGGCUUUAAUAUCGUAUUUCCUGAUAUUCUUAGUGGUGUGAUCUGAUUUUCCUUUUGUGUCUAGCAUAUUCAUUAGCGAUUUUCAUAAUAAUACAUGUCAUUUGAAUAUAGGAAAAGGAAAAAAAAAAAAAACACCAAAUGUUGUGGCAUUGUGAAGUGUCAUUAACUUUAAAGGCAUUUCCAAAGGGUGGUAAUUAUGUAAUCAUAUUCUGAGGUUUAACAAAAUGGACACUUAACUAGACAUAUAUUAAAGAUCAUAAAACAUAGAUCAUUUAUCCUACUAGAUGUUUUGCUUCGGAGUUUCACGUACUUAUUCUACAAGCAAAAAAUCGACCCAAUCUAGGUCACCAAGUUAAUGUAGUUCAAAGUAUCUUCCCAGUAACUGUUUAACUGUGACAUUUUUAUCUUUAAUGGAUGAUUUAUACAAAUAUGAUUUCAAGAAUGGCUAUUUAAUGACAUGUUUUUUCCAGUUUAGUUACCCUGUAGCACACGAAAUUGAGUCGAACAAAGUACAAAUAUGUGUUUCAGUGUAGUUUUAUCGAUCGUCCAUCUCAUAUUUUGUUCUAUGUCUCAUGAGAAAAGGAAAGUCAGUAAUGCUUCUUGCGAAGAUGAAGUAAAUAAACUCGAAUCACAAAACU
rnacentral:lncRNA from 1 species